rnacentral:rRNA from 1 species
UACAGAGGUCUCAAGCGUUGUUCGGAUUCAUUGGGCGUAAAGGGUGCGUAGGUGGCGCUGUAAGUCGGGUGUGAAAUUUCGGAGCUUAACUCCGAAACUGCAUUCGAUACUGCGGUGCUUGAGGACUGGAGAGGAGACUGGAAUUCCUGGUGUAGCGGUGAAAUGCGCAGAUAUCAGGAGGAACACCGGUGGCGAAGGCGGGUCUCUGGGCCGAUACUGACGCUGAGGAGCGAAAGCGUGGGGAGCAAACAGG